AUGCAUCUUGAAAAAUGGUGAUGGAAAUAUAAAGAUGUUACCCAAAUUAAGUGACCAUCAGAUAAUGGCAGGGCUUUAUGACAGCUGGCAUCAAAUGAAAUUGCAUGAAAUAGGGAGAGUUUCCAAAAUCAUAUCUGUAAUUAAUUGCAUGACUAUGACUGACAAUGACAUCAUAUGAAAUUUGCAUGACUCCAAAAUCAAUGAGAACGAUGAGAGAGAGGCAAACGAGAGAGAAGAAGGAGGUCAGGAGAGAGUGAAGGCAUCCAACUACCCAAUAUUUCCUCUCAUUCUUCAUAAUACACUUUCCUCUCACCGCUUUACCAUUUCUUUUUUCGAAUUCUCCGGCCGUCACAUUCUCAAAACCGCCACCGCCUCCGACGCAACAGCGGACAAGCCGCCGCCGUGACUUCACCCAUUCCGCGUUCAAACUCGCGCCGAUUCAGCCGUGGGGACUCUCCCAAAUACAUUCGGCAGGUAUCUCUCUCUAAAUCUAAUUUUCAAAUUCAUGACCAUCUAUUAUAAAAAUUAAUAUGUAAAGGAAUAUAUAUAGAGAAUAUAUUUUGAGUUUGAGUUUAUGAUUAGUAAAAUUACUGUUUUAUGUGACAAUUACUGAAGUUUGGAUUUGAGCUUGAGUUUGCGAAGGAUAAAUGCUUAUAAGAAGUUGGGAUUUUAGUAUUCAACUUAAAAAAAAAAAAAAAAACAUUAUUUUGUGAAAUAGUCGGAUCCCCCUAAGCAGAAUGAGAUUCAAUGUAUAUGUGUGUAUUUAAAUGAACUAGUUUUGAAGCAAUCUGCUCGCAUUUUUGUUUUCCCUACGCAAUUGGUUAACAACCCUAUUUUUAACGGCUUUCAUAUUUUAUUAAUAUUCGUGUUUAUAGAUUUUAUCACUAUCAGCAUAGAUGAAUAAAUAAUAGUAUAAAGAAAAGCACGAGAAACGUACAGAUCUGCGAAGAGAUUUAAGGUAUAUAGGUAUCUCAAAUCUCAAAUAUGUCCAUAUAUGCAAGCAUAAUUGAAGAAUAUUAAAAAAUUCAUUGUGACUUGUGAGGCUUUGGAAUGACUGUUGCAACAGCUGCAUAUGUUUUCCAGAGUAAAUAGAAAGCUCCAAGAGUCAAAGCCAAUUUAGCAUACUUAUACAUUAUAAAGUUUUGUUCUCACAUAACCCAACUAAAACCAUUAACUUUGCACCUUGUUUGGCAUGUUUCUGGUCUCGUCCAAGAGGCUAUCCAGAUAAGAGAAACUUGAUAGUUCAUUUUAACCACAAACUCCAUAAAACUAUACUCACCAACAAUAAUGAGCUUUUUCGCACUGUCAACUCUUCUUUAAGUUUCGACCACGGCCACCUUCUUAUUUUGGUUACGUAUUUUUUUCUCUUAUAAAAUAUAAUUUUGCUUUUUUAGAAAUUUAAGUCUUUUCAAAAUUUGUAUUAAGGAUAUAAACAGUGGUCGAGGUCAACGUGUUAGAGGUCAAAGUAGCCGUAGUGAUGGUGGUCAAAUAGGUCAAAGUAAGCGUAAUAGUGGUCGUCGAGAUCAAACAACAUAUAGGAAUGUGGAAAUAAGGUACCAUUUAAUGAAGAUAUAUUUGAGACAAAUCAACGAUUGUGACUGUUUGCCAGUAUACGUAGAUGUAGAUGAUGAGAACAAGUCUCUUAUUGUGAUCCAAUCUUGCCACACGUUUCAUAAAAUAAACCACGAUAAGUUUCUGUCGACCAUCUUGACUCACGAGUAUGGUAUGAGGCAUAACACACUUUAUCAGUUGAUAUAUACGGUCUAUUCAAAGACGUAUGUACAUAAUGUAAUGCCACUUAUCAUGCAAUACUAUUUCAUCUAAUAAUUGGCAAUAUCCUUUCAAUUAUAAGUAUCUCCAUGAGACCUAUUGAUUCAUCAAGGCAUUAUCAAAUUCAUCAUUUAUUUGCACCAGAUGGACUUAUCAUUUUUUUUUCCCACUUAACUUAGAGCAUAAUUUCGUCGUUCAUGAAAAUAAGUUGAAACUUUAUCGACUUACGUUUUGUGACUGUUCAUCCCAUAAUAAAACUAACGAAUUUGUUAUUCUUAUUAACGUGUGAAUAAUCAUCAGAAACUUUGAUGGCUCCAACACACUAGCAAGAAGAACAAGUCAUUGUUUUAUUCGGAGGUGAACAAGUCACAAAACGUAAGCCGACAAAGUUUCAAUUUAUUUUCAUGAACGACGAAGUUAUGCUCUAAGUUAAGUGAAGAAAGUGAUAAGUUCAUCAACAACAAAUAAAUUAUGAAUUUGAUAACACUCUUGAUAAAUUAAUAGGUCUUAUAGAGAUAUUUAUAAUUGAAUGAUAUUGUCAAUUAUGAGAUGGAAUAGUAUUGCAUUAAAAGUGGCAUUACAUGUACAUACGUCUUUAAAUAGACGGUGUACAUAUUAUAGAGUGUGUUAUGUCUCCUACCAUUCUCGUGAGUGAAGAUCGUUGGCAAAAACUUAUCGUGAUUUAUUUUAUGAGACUCGUGACGAGGCUAGAUCAUAGUUUGAGACUCGUUCUCAUCGCCUGCAUUUACGUACACCGGCAAGUAGUCUCACUCGUUGAUUUGUCCUUCAAAUGUAGCUUCAUUAAAUUGGUAACUAAUUUUCGUAUACCUAUAUGCUGUUGUAUCUCGACCACUACGGCUACUUUGACCUACUCGACCACCACCACUGCAGCUACUUUGACCUCUAGCACGUUCACCUCGACCACUACUUAUAUACUAAAUACAAAUUUUAAAAAGACUUAUAUUUCUUAAAAAAGUAAAAUUAUGUUUUAUAAGAUAACAAAAUACGUACCAGAGAUAGAAAGGUGGUAGUGGACGAACCUUGGCGAAGGGUUGGUAGUGCGAGAAAGCAUGUUAUUGGUCAGUGAAUAUGAUUUUAGUGAGUUUGUGGUUAAAAUGGAAUGUCAUGUUUCUUUUAUAUGAGUAGCUUUCUGUAUGAGAUCAUAAAUAUGGCAAAUGAGUUGCUAGUUGAUGGCUUUAGUUGGGGUGCAAGAAUAGAACUUGAUAAUAUAUAAGUAGGCUGAAUUGAUGAUGAUCAACGAUAUUCAUCAAUUGAAUUCGACUGCAAGUAAGAUUUAGUCGAAAUAUGGCGUCACAUUUGCUCCAACACUCGCAUAAGUACUUGCCUCAGGUAUUUUACUUUAUUUUGUGUGUGUGAUAAAAUUUGAAAUAAUAUCCAAUGUGUAUAAUAUCCAAUGUGUUUUUAUAUUAUUAUUAAUGAAGCACUAUUACUCUUUUAGCCAAAGUUCCCUUUCGUUUCUCCUCCUUGUAUCAAUGAAUUAUAAUACAUAACAUUAACUUGGAAAUAGAUGGAAACUACACAAGAAAUAGGAAAAUGCUUUAUACCAUCUAAUUAAUUACAAAGAAUUUUGUGAAGAUGAAAAUCCUCAAUAAUACAUAGUGUGAGAAGGUUCUAUAACUAGUUUAGCUUAAUAUCUUCUUCUAUUUUCCUUCAUGUAACAUAAAAAAUAACUAGUAUAUAUAUCUAAGAUGCUACAAAAAGAAUAACUAGAAAACAAAUUAAAAAUAGGACAUCCCUACACUCAUAUAAUCAAUAAUGCUGGUAAUGUCUAGCUUGACUAAUCUUUCUUUUUCUUCUUCUUCUUCGGAGUAAAACAUUAGUAGAUGGUGCUGUAAAAGCGAGUGAGCUGAGACGAAAGGAGCUUCACUACGAGAUAUUCAGAUAAAGUGUUGCAUCGUAUUCAUGUACGUGGAGACCAAGACAUUUCCAUAUUCUUUCGCCUCUUGGGAAAAUACCAAACGUCUUAGAAACUUGAUUUCUACGUAUAUGUGCGCUAAUAAGGAUUCAGUAUAUGUUUUGAUCAGGCCUGUACCUGAGGACAUGCUCAACAUGCUGCCGCAUAGGGUUCCAAUUUUUUAUUUUUUUUAUAUAGUAUAUAUAUAAAGAUUAUUUUGUAUAUAUGUUACUAUAUUAUUGUUGUUUCGUCAAUAUAAAAGAAAAUUAUAAGGGCCCAUUUUCUAA